CUUUUUUUUCUUUUUCUUUUUCUCUUAUAUUUUUAAAUUUCGAGUGAAAAUUUCAAUAACAGAGCAAAGAGAGGGAAAGAAAACGACCAACACAGAGCGCGAGGGCGCCAAAUUCCUUACCAACUUCCAAUCGUUUUUUCUCUUACUUUUUCGCCUCUAUCGUCACUAUAAUUCUCGCACUUGUUGCUUCACUGAGCAAUCGGUUUGUUGUUCGUUGAAAUUUGCUAGUCGCUGAUCUUUAACCGGGAUAUAUCGUUUGGAUUUCGUCACAGUUUGUUUUGAUUUCGUUUUGUGCGGUUCUUGUUUCUUUCAUGGCUAUGGACGAUACUGAGAGCUGUUGUAGUAGACCGGUGGAUGAUUUUUCGACUCAGACCUGGAGACAGAAGCAGAAGGUUGGUGUUUACGUCGAAGUUCUUCGUCGACUCAGACUGUCGCAUGAGGCGGAGACCAGCUUUCCUGGUUUUGAGGAUGAACUUUGGGCUCAUUUUCAUCGCCUUCCUACUAGGUAUGCUAUGGACGUCAACGUGGAGAGGGCUCAAGAUGUUCUCAUGCACAAAGAUCUUCUCUUCAUGGCACAUGAUCCUGCUACACGUCCUGCAAUUGAUGUCCGUCUCGUACAGGUUCAUUCAUCUCCUGGCACAAACUCUGGCACGUAUGUUCAUUCAAACUUGAAGGAAAAAGUGGACCAGCGGUUUUCUGAUUAUGACAGCAAUCAGAGACAACACCCCCCACCAGCAUUUGGUUCAACAACAGAGGUCGAAUCUGGUUUUGCGAUCAGCCAAUUACAUGAUAUAAAUCAGCCUGACACUUUAUCCUGGCCAAUGCAUGAAAUUACAAUAUCAACAAUUGACAAGCCAAAACUACUCAGUCAGUUGACGUCCUUACUUUCUGAGAUUGGGCUGAAUAUUCAAGAAGCGCAUGCUUUUUCAACAACAGAUGGCUUUUCCUUGGAUGUUUUUGUAGUUGAUGGUUGGGCAAUUGAGGAUACCAAACAGCUAAAGGAUAUACUAGCUGAAGAAAUAUCAAAGAUUCAGAAAAGGCAUCCUCUAUUUACACCUUGGAGCAUUUCCCCAACUGGGAAGAAAGACAAAAUUGGAGUCAAAUUCAUUGCAAAUUAUGUCAACAUUCCACGGCACAAAGUUGGUGCACGGGAAAUUGAUGCGAGUCUGUUAAUCUAUGAGAAGAAAAUUGUUUCUGGAUCUUUUAGUGACUUGUAUAAAGGCACUUUCUAUGGUCAAGAGGUGGCUAUUAAGCUUCUAAAAGAUGGAAGCUUGAAUGAGGCUGUACGGCGGGAAUUUGCUCAAGAAAUUCAUAUCAUGAGAAAUCUUCGGCAUAAGAAUGUUGUCCAAUUUAUUGGUGCAUCUACCAGACCUCCAAGCGCUUUUAUUGUUACUGAAUACAUGCCUGGUGGAAGCAUGCAUGACUUCUUACAUCAAAAAAAGGGCGUUCUUAGUUUUCCUUCCUUACUAAGAGUGGCAGUUGAUGUGUCCAAGGGAAUGAACUAUUUGCAUCAAAAGAAUAUCAUCCAUAGAGAUCUGAAAGCUGCAAAUCUUUUGUUGGACGAAGAUGGGGUUGUCAAGGUAGCUGAUUUUGGUGUUGCCAGAGUGCAAUCUCAAUCUGGUGUGAUGACUGCAGAAACUGGAACAUAUCGUUGGAUGGCUCCAGAGGUUAUUGAGCACAAACCAUAUGAUCAUAAAGCUGAUGUUUACAGCUUUGGGAUAGUGUUGUGGGAGCUGCUUACAGGGCAGCUGCCUUAUGAUAACCUGACUCCGUUACAAGCAGCAAUGGGCGUGAUCCAGAAGGGUCUGAGGCCUAAGAUUCCGAGGCAUGCAAAUCCAAUGAUCGUGGACUUGCUUGAGAGAUGCUGGCGGCAGGAUCCAUCUUUGAGACCUGAAUUUUCUGAAAUUACGAAACUUUUGCAGCAAACCCUCAAGGAGGGCUCAUCUGGAAGGCGGCCAAAAAUUUGGGCUGGAGCAGAGCGUUUUAUGGUGGAGCGAGGAGAUCGUGAAGAUGUGGAGAUUCGCGAUCUUGUGCGUGCUGAAGAUGUGGGGAUCAGAUCCCUGCGAUAUCGAAGAACUUGAAGCCUGCGAUCAAGAAGAAAGUAAACGAGAUGGGGCAUCGCCACAUUUCAUGGUACUUCUUUCUUGUUGCUGUGGUAUAUGCAACCAUAAAAAGUGAUCAGUUGAUAGCUUUCUGACCAAAUUUUUGCUUACCACAUCACAACGAGAAAACUUCUUGAUAACUCUGCGCUUCAGGAUUCUGGAAUCCCCAAUAAUUCUCAUGUGCAUUUCAAAGAAUUCCAGAGGCAUUCUAGGAGAAAACGCCGUUUCUUUCACGGCCUCAACAAACGCGAAUGAACACACGCUUUG